rnacentral:rRNA from 1 species
AAUGAACGCUGGCGGCAUGCCUAACACAUGCAAGUCGAACGAACCCUUCGGGGUUAGUGGCGCACGGGUGCGUAACGCGUGGGAAUCUGCCCUUUGCUUCGGAAUAACAGUUAGAAAUGACUGCUAAUACCGGAUGAUGUCUUCGGACCAAAGAUUUAUCGGCAAAGGAUGAGCCCGCGUAGGAUUAGGUAGUUGGUGGGGUAAAGGCCUACCAAGCCGACGAUCCUUAGCUGGUCUGAGAGGAUGAUCAGCCACACUGGGACUGAGACACGGCCCAGACUCCUACGGGAGGCAGCAGUGGGGAAUAUUGGACAAUGGGCGAAAGCCUGAUCCAGCAAUGCCGCGUGAGUGAUGAAGGCCUUCGGGUCGUAAAGCUCUUUUACCAGGGAUGAUAAUGACAGUACCUGGAGAAUAAGCUCCGGCUAACUCCGUGCCAGCCGCCGCCGUAAAAC